rnacentral:snoRNA from 1 species
GCGUGUGCGAGUGGGGGCUGCGUGGGGUGGGGGGGGGGCGUGAGUGUGUGUGAGUGUGUGUGCGUGGGCUUUGCGCGUGCCGCCGCCUACACGUUGAUCUUAUUUGAUCGGCCCCCGGCCGAGAUGAGAAGAGCCGCGCCGCGAAGCCCCCGGGCGCUGUGCGGCGGGCGGGCGGGAUGAGUCGAUCAGAUAGGCGAGGCCCGGCCCCGCGCCCGGCCCCUGAGCGCGCCGCGAUUCUGAUCCGC